CAGCUGAGCAGGCUCAAAUCAGGCCGGACAAGCUAUUUGCCUGUGUUAAACUGUAUGCAUACAGCACAGGUAAGGGCAGCAAAGCCUUUUCAUCCAAACCCCCAAAGGGUAAAUUCCCACUGUGAGCUGACCUCCCUUUGCUUCCCAGCGAAAGGAUAACCUUAUUUUUCUCCUAUGGUGAAUCUGGUUUUGACUGUGUUUUCCCUUCUAAGGACUGGGGGUUUAUUCUCUUGACAAGUUGAUUUCUCGAGUUCAUUGUGCCUCUGCUGCAGGGCAUAGGAGAUUUAAUGUCACAAGAGAGAUGCUGGGUAGGUAAAGCGAUGAUGUAAUGCUGCAAGCUGCCCCAUCAGGGAGAAAUAUCCACCUGAAACUUCUCCAGAUUCUGGGCUGAUCAUAUGCAAACUCCAAUUUAUUUCUCUCCCUGUUUUGCAUAUCUCCAUCUGCACCGCUUCUUGCACAUCUCCAUGGAGAUGAAGAAACGAGGCUGGAUAACGCUGUUCUGGCAUCACCCAGCCACUAACACAGGUCCCACCAAGUGCUGCAUGAUGGGGAACCAGCACCCAUGGGGAAGAUCCCAGUGGGGACCCCAUCCAGCUGCUCCCACACAGGCCUGAUCCUGAUGCUUCCCACUGCACAGCAGCAUCCCUCCCUAAGGAACAGGGUAAAACCCUGCUCGAGGGAGCAGCAACAGCAGGCAGGAGACUGCCCCAGUUCUGCAGGGAAGUGGGGUCAGAGAGCACUUCCACAUCCUCAUGCUGGAGGUUUUCCCAUUCCCAGCAGCACCUACUGACUUACAUGUAAAAUAAUGCCAGCAUUCGCGUGUCAUCUAAGCUUUAAUUGUUUGCCUUUAUACCUAAAACCACUGCGUUUAGCCCCAAAUGGCUAGUGCCACUUCAAACGUGUCUGAAUUAUCCCCUCUGUAACCAACAUCCCUAUACAGGCACUGCUCCAUCUCCUCCAGUAUUUCUCAGCUGUUUCUGUCCUCAACAUAAUGGCCAUCUUAUACACAGUUAACAACUUUGGGGCAUGGAAGCGACAAAUUAACCCAAAGCCUGCUGUAAGCACUGAUGCUCCAGCUGACCAAGUGAUUUUUGAUGAUUUGGUGUUUUCUGUUUGCUUGUCACCCCAGUGAUCAAAGAGAUGUGUGUUGCAGCAGCCUCUCUCCAUCAUGGAAAGUUGGGACAAAUACUCUGCUGGCAUAAAUCAAUGCAGCUCUGUGGAGGUCAGUGAGAUUACAUUGAGUUACACCAGCUACAGGCUUUGCCCAUCUUUCAGAUAGGUUUGUGUCCUGUCCCUCUCUCUGUAAAGGUCUUCCAAGAGCAUGUGUCAAUGGCAUUGAAAGAAGCCUUUCCUCCCAAACGCCUUUAUUUAUAGCUUUCAGAUGGUGACAGGUCUAUAGAAAGAGAGUGGAGGAGCAGGCCAAUUCCUGCUUGUGUUUGGGGAACUCCUUUCUCUGUACCAGUUAAACGUCAAUGAACCUCCUAGGGAAAAAUCCUUGUUUCCAUGAUUUUCUAGCUAAUAACUCCCUGACAUAGCUGCAGUGUUCAAUUCUGACUCCCUGUUUACAGCACUCAGCCUGUAGAUACCACUUUUCCUUGGUCUCAAAGCAUUCCAGCAAGGGAAGACUGUACCAAACCCUCAUUCCAAACACAGGCAAACUCAGCUGGUCGCUGAAGACAGGAUUUCUAAAUGAGCCUGAGAAUUACACAUGCAAAUCCCAUAGGCCUGGAAUUGGGAACAUCUGAGCAACAAAUUGUCCUUGCUAAAGAUGGUGCCGGAGCCAAAAAGCCUACAGAUUUCGGGCCUGCUAAAUAGCCGGAGCCGCACGGACUGACCGGGGGUCCCGCUCCCGCAGCGGGGCCGCGCUCAGCACCGCGGAAUCACCGCCCGUGACAUCCCGCCGCCACGCACCGGCCCGGGGGGCGCCGGCCCCGCGGCUCCCCUUC